rnacentral:misc_RNA from 1 species
UCAAACUUGGUCAUUUAGAGGAAGUAAAAGUCGUAACAAGGUCUCCGUAGGUGAACCUGCGGAGGGAUCAUUACCGAGUUCGUGCCCCCCUCGCGGGGGUAGAUCUCCCACCCUUUGUGUAUCUGUGUUCGUGUUGCUUUGGCAGGCCGUGGGCCCUGUUCACCACCGGCUCCCGGGCUGGUGUGCGCCUGCCAGAGGACCUUUUCCAAUUCUGUUUGUCAGUGUCGUCUGAGUGAACCAAAAAAACAAUCGUUAAAACUUUCAACAACGGAUCUCUUGGUUCUGGCAUCGAUGAAGAACGCAGC